CCACCCAACCAACAAACCAACCAAUCAACCAACCAGCCAAUUUUGAAACCAUCCAGAGGAAGACUAUUACAGGAUUAAAUGUUCUAGCAAGGAAACAUGAAGCUGGUCCAACGUGCUGCUGGGAUGGCUCCUUGAAGCUUGAACAUGAUGACCUUCAGCAAAGGAGGUGGAGAUGUACAGAGGAGGAGACCGUUAGUUCCCUGAGUGAAGAGAUGCUAUCUUGGUAUCUCCAGCUUCCAACCGGGGGCUUGGCACAGAAUAGGGGCUUGGUAAAUGUUUUCCAAAUGAAUGGGAUGUCUGAUGGAAAGAAGACAAGGUGAAGGAAUUCCUGGGUAAUAUGGAGAUGAGAAUCUGUGAGAAGGAUACAUGUACUGAUGCCUGUCGCGGUGGACACACAGACGCACACAUUGCGGAACACCACCAUAAGAAUAUUGAGAAUAUCGAGAACACUUCAAUAUUCCAAACUUCAAUGGAAAUAUACGAACUGGAGUACACUCUUCUUCUGCCCUUGGACAUCAGGCUCUCUGGCCUUUGGACUCCAGGACUUAUACCAGCGCCCCUCUGGGUUCUCAGGCCUCUGUACUUGAACUGAGCCACACUGCCAGCAUGCCAGCUUCUCCAGCUUGCCAGGCCUGCUGUGGGACUUCUCAGCCUCCAUAAUCAUGUGUGCCAAUUCCCCUAAUA
rnacentral:lncRNA from 1 species